rnacentral:lncRNA from 1 species
AUGUCAUCACUUCAUUUUUUUGCGCCUGCGCAUAAAUCUGAGAAACAAACCACAUUUGUUCCGGACCUGGGAUGCCAUUCCGGACCUGGGAUCCUGCCUUCUGAUGGAGAUAAUCAAAGAGAAGGGGCUUCUUUGCUGCCCUUCUUGACACCAGGCCAUCCUUCAAAAGUCUUCGCCUCACUGUGCAUGCAGAUGUACUUACACCUGCCUGCUGCCAUUCCUGAGCAAGCUCUGUACUGGUGGUGCCCCGAUCCCACAGCUGAAUCAACUUUAGGAGACGGUAACCAUGGUAGACAGAGGAAGAACAGUGAUUCCAAGCACCACCUUCCUUUUGAAGCUUCCAGUCUGUUAUUUGAACUCAAUCAGCAUGACAGAGUGAUCUCCAGCCUUGUCCUCGUCAACACUCACACCUGUGUUAACGAGAGAAUCACUGACAUGAUGUCAGCUGGUCCUUUUGUGGCAGGGCUGAAAUGCAGUUGAAAUGUUUUUGGGGGAUUCUGUUCAUUUGCAUGGCAAAGAGGGACUUUGCAAUUAAUUGCAAUUCAUCUGAUCACUCUUCAUAACAUUCUGGAGUAUAUACAAAUUGCCAUCAAACAAACUGAGGCAGCAGCCUUGUGAAAAUUUGUAUUUGUGUCAUUCUCAAAACUUUUGGCCACGACUGUACAUAUUACCUCAAUUACCUUGACUAACCUGUACCCUCGUGCAUUGACCAGGUAACGGUACCCCCUGUAUAUACUGUACAAUUGAAGUCAGAAGUUUACAUACACUUAGGUUGGAGUCAUUAAAACUCGUUUUUCAACCACUCCACAAAUUUCUUGUUAACAAACUAUAGUUUUGGCAAGUCGGUUAGGACAUCUACUUUGUGCAUGACACAGGUCGUUUUUCCAACAAUUGUUUUCAGACAGAUUAGUUCACUGUAUCACAAUUCCAGUGGGUCAGAAGUUUACAUACACUAAGUUGACUGUGCCUUUAAACAUCUUGACAAUUCCAUAAAAUUAUGUCAUGGCUUUAGAAGAAUCUGAUAGGCUAAUUGACAUCAUUUGAGUCAAUUGGAGGUGUACCUGUGGAUGUAUUUCAAGGCCUACCUUCAAACUCAGUGCCUCUUUGCUUGACAUCAUGGGAAAAUCAAAAGAUAUCAGCCAAGACCUCAGAAAAAAAUUGUAGACCUCCACAAAUCUGGUUCAUCCUUUGGAGCAAAUUCCAAACGCCUGAAGGUACCACGUUCAUCUGUACAAACAAUAGUAUGCAAGUAUAAACACCAUGGGACCAUGCAACCGUCAUACCGCUCAGGAAGGAGACCCGUUCAUCUCCUAGAGAUGAAUGUACUUAGGUACGGAAAGUGCAUGUCAAUCCCAGAACAACAGCAAAGGACCUUGUGAAGAUGCUGGAGCAAACAGGUACAAAAGUAUCUAUAUCCACAGUAAAACAAGUCCUAUAUCGACAUAACCUGAAAGGCCGCCCAGCAAGGAAGAAGCCAGACUACGGUUUGCAACUGCACAUGGGGACAAACAUCGUACUUUUUGGAGAAAUGUCCUCUGGUCUGAUGAAACAAAAAUACAACUGUUUGGCCAUGAUGGCCAUCGUUAAGUUUGGAGGAAAAGGGGGGACGUUUGCAAGCCGAAGAACACCAUCCCAACCAUGAAGCACGGGGGUGGCAGCAUCAUGUUGUGGGGGUGCUUUGCUGCAGGAGGGACUGCUGCACUUCACAAAAUAGAUGGCAUCAUGAGGUAGGGACAAUUAUGUGGAUAUAUUGAAGCAACAUCUCAAGACAUCAGUCAGGAUGUUAAAGCUUCGUCGCAAAUGGGUCUUCCAAAUGGACAAUGACCCAAGCAUUCUUCCAAAGUUGUGGCAAAAUGGCUUAAGGACAUCAAAGUCAAGGUAUUGGAGUGGCCAUCACAAAGCCCUGACCCUCAAUCCCAUAGAAAAUUUGUGGGCAAAACUGAAAAAGCAUGUGCGAGCAAGGAGACCUACCAACCUGACUCAGUUACACCAGCUCUGUCAGGAGGAAUGGGCCUAAAUUCACCCAAUGUAACGGCUGUCUUCUGUAGAAAUGGACCAAGGCGCAGUGAGACUGUGAAUACUCAUACUUUAAUAGACUCAAGUAAGGCAUCCACAGGAAAACAAUAACAGGACAGCAGCAACAGUUUGCAGGCUAAAAACGCAGUGCAAAACAACCACCCACAACCCCCCAAAAAAACACACACACCUAUAUAGGACUUCCAAUUAAAGGCAACUCAACACACCUGCCUUCGAUUGGAAGUCCCAAUCAACAAUACAAACAUACCCAACACAAACAUGCCACGUCCUGACCAAAACUAAAACACUAGCUCCAUCUGCUGGUCAGGACGUGACAGUACCCCCCCUCAAGGUGCAGACCCCGGAAUGCACCUACCAACAGAAAAACACCAACAAAAAAAAUCCCCAACAAAACCCAUAAACAGUAACCCUAAACAAUAAGGGAGGGUGGCUGCCGUCAACGACGGCACUGUGCUACACCCUCCCUCCCCAACCCACCUAUCCUGGAGGCGGCUCAGGCUCUGGCCGUUCCAGGCAGUCGGGCCACUCUGGCAGCUCGGGGCAGUCGGGGCAGUCUGGCAGCUCGGGGCAGUCUGGCAACUCGGGACAGUCGGGGCAGUCUGGCAACUCGGGACAGUCGGGGCAGUCUGGCAACUCGGGGCAGUCUGGCAACUCGGGACAGUCGGGGCAGUCUGGCAACUCGGGACAGUCGGGGCAGUCUGGCAACUCGGGACAGUCGGGGCAGUCUGGCAACUCGGGACAGUCUGGGCAGUCUGGCAACUCGGGACAGUCUGGGCAGUCUGGCAACUCGGGACAGUCUGGGCAGUCUGGCAACUCGGGACAGUCUGGGCAGUCUGGCAACUCGGGACAGUCUGGCAACUCGGGAUAGUCUGGGCAGUCUGGCAACUCGGGAUAGUCUGGGCAGUCUGGCCACUGCGGCACCUCGGGACAGUCUGGCCACUCCGGCAGCUCGGGGCAGUCUGGCCACUCCGGCAGCUCGGG